rnacentral:rRNA from 1 species
UACGAAGGGGGCUAGCGUUGCUCGGAAUUACUGGGCGUAAAGGGCGCGUAGGCGGCUCUGUGAGUCAGGCGUGAAAUUCCUGGGCUUAACCUGGGGGACUGCGCUUGAUACUGCGGGGCUUGAGGCCGAGAGAGGGUGGUGGAAUUCCCAGUGUAGAGGUGAAAUUCGUAGAUAUUGGGAAGAACACCGGUGGCGAAGGCGACCACCUGGCUCGGUACUGACGCUGAGGCGCGACAGCGUGGGGGAGCAAACAGG